UCCGCCUCAGGACUGGGACCCGGCUCCGGCUCCAGCUCCCGCACCACUCAGGGACAGACACCGACCCCCGCGGCCGCCAUGAUGGAUUAUGAGCCGCUCCACAACGAAGCCCGCAUUCAUGUAUUUUUGAUCACACCUCAAUAAGACACAAAAAAUUUUUAAAGCUGCUUCCAAAAUUGGCAACAAUGAGUUAAUAGGCAUGUUGGAAAAAAGGGAAGGCAUUUUGAGGAAGUUUAAUGGCAUCAUUAAGGACAGAAGAUCUGAGUGGAAAGGAAGAUGAGACCGGAAAAGAACCCUCGAUUACUCAUGAGAAUAACAAGAGUGUUCUGGGAUUGCAAGGCUAAAAUCUGCUGUGCUCCUGGGCCAUCAGUUUGAGAAUAACUGUUCCUGUAAUGAGUAACCUGCGGCAGUGGGUCACAAUCAGGAGUGAGAUUUUGAGACCUCCCAUUAUCUAUGCUUACUGGGGAAAAAGAAUGUAAUAAAUAUUUUGAAACUCUCAAAAAAGUUCUAUUUUAAAAGGAAAUUU
rnacentral:lncRNA from 1 species